GCCAGGUGUUCUGCUGUGCAUCUGUAGUCCCAGCUACUCAGGUGCUGAGGCAGGAGGAUCACUUGAGCCCAGGAGGUCAGGGCUGCAGUGAGCCAUGAUUGCACCACUGCACUCCAGCCUGGGCAACAGAGUGAGACCCUGUCUCAA
rfam:Nomascus leucogenys chromosome 19, whole genome shotgun sequence.